rnacentral:lncRNA from 1 species
GUCCAAUCUUAAUAUUCUGAGAGUUCCAUGCUAGUAUUGUGACUAAUUAUACCUUAUACCACUUGCGUGCCACUUGAUAGUUUUCACAGGACUUUAUGUGUUUUUGUCUUCUUUGAUCUUCACAGCCAUCCUGGGAGGCCAGCCAUUCAGAUAUUAUUUCCCUGUUUUACUCACGAGAAAGUCAAGGCUUGAAUGGGUUAUGACUUGCCUAAAGUUACAAAGUGAGGAAGUGCCAGUCCCAACACCAGAUGGCUCCCACAGGCCCCAUCCAGAGCAUUUCUAUUUGAUUGUAUGCUGCCUAACUCCCCACCGAGGACAUAGUAACAGAUGGCCCUGAAAUGAGGAGGUCUACAGGAUGGAUUGUUUUUCUCUUUUGCAUUAAAAUGGGUUUGCAGAGUGUAGUAGCCAGUGUGGAUUCUGGAGUCAUCUGGAGUCAUUGUCUGCAUUUGGAUGCUGGCUUUAUCACUUAGCUCUGUACCCUUUCUUGCAAAAGGAACUCAGAUAAAACAAAUGUAACUUUCUGAAGUUUUAAGACCAGAAAGGUCAAUUUCUAUGUUUAUUCAAAAGAAACUUAACCUCUCUAUGCCUCAGAUACUCCAUCUGUAAAAUGAGAAUAACACUGGUAGCUAACUCAUAGGACAGUUGGGGGAUUACAUUAGAACAUCUAUGCAAAACAAAAGCACAAGGCCCAGAACCAUAGUAAACACUAACUAAAGCCUCAGUUCUUUCUUGGUAUGAUCUGUGAAACCUUCAAAAUGUCUGUGCUACUGGCCUUUCACUAUGCUUUGUACUUCAGGCAUUGGCUUCAGGAAGGCUCUGUUAAAAGAGAACCAUCCUCCAUGAGACAAGACCUGUCCUUUCCAUGGGAGAGGCAGUCAUUGACAAGUGUCCUCCAACACAUUUUCCCAGUUUAUCAUAUUGGCACUGAAGGAACACUCAGGAUUACAUGCUUUGGGUGUGGACGCCAAGAAGUGACAAAAAAAGGAAGUUGGGAUCAUUACGGUUAACCCAAGCAUGUUGGAAACCAGAGAGAGGCUGAGUGCUAUCAUACACAGACCCAUGAAUCGGAGUCUGAGGGGCCCUGGGACCCCCAGCUUAAGAUUCUUCAGGGUCACCUCACUAAUGAUGUGUGGCAUCUUUGCAAAUGGAAAUAUCAGCUUCUUUCCACCACCUUCAUGAUGCAGGCAGGAACCUGUAAGUCUCUUCCGUGACACCCGAGAGCCAAAGAAGACUCUGGGUAAGCAAGCCCUCUUACUAUCUACCCAUACUGUGUUGCCUAUUUUUACUUUGCUGUGGCCAUUCAUUGUUGUCCCUCUAUGUGAUGACAUCUUUCCAGAGUGAAUCUGAAAGUGGCAACAGCACCUCUACUCUUGGCUUUCCUCUUGACCCUUGUCCCACCUGAUACUUCUUUGAUCUUAUGAGCUAAGGAGGUUUGGUAGUGAUCCAUAACACAUACACAUCUGACAAUUUGCUUUCCCUAAAUCUCCUUUCUCUCUUUCUAGCAAACUCCCUGAGCUGGAAGGGGUAUAUUCUCCUCUUUCUCCUUAUGGUGGUUUUAAAACAAGUCUGAAAAAUUUUUGAAACUAAAAAAGGUGCAGUCCAUGUCACCUCCCUUGACCCUGGGUGGGCCUUUGUGACUUUCUUGAUGAAAGGAAUAUGGCAGAAGUGAUGCUGCAUGCUAUGCUUUGAGUUUGUCCCCACCGAAACUUAUGUUGGAAUUUGGUCCCCGAAGGCCAGGCGUGGUGGCU